rnacentral:lncRNA from 1 species
GGUUCCAUCUUUUCCCGGUUGAGACAUAACUUAUUUGUCACGACCCAAAUUGAUGGGCCGCGAUAGGCACCCGGUACCUUACUCAACCGAAUACCAACGUAACGCGUCUUUCUUAUUACAUCAUUAUAUACAUGUGACAUACGGGCCUAAUAGGCCAACAUAAUCAUUUAUAAAAUCAAAACAUAGGCCGACAAGGCCGUACAAUCUUUCACGUACACGACAUAUGUCUACAAGCCUCUAAGAAUACAUAAAUAUCAUAAAGAUCGAGACAGAGUGCUGCCAUACCAAACAAUAUACGUCUAACUCAUACUAACCAAACAAGCAACUCCAAAGCAAAUGGAGUGCACCAACAUCUUCCGCUGAGCUGAUAGCCUACAUGGAGGGCUCUCGACCUGUCUAUUGGGACCUGCGGGCAUGAAACGCAGUGUCCCAAGCAAAAGGGACGUCAGUACAAAUAAUGUACUGAGUAUGUAAGGCACAUAAAUAAAUACAUAAAAGACAUGGAAGACAUAUAUAGUACAUGACUCAACCUGUAAGUCUGAAUAACUUUGUAAAUCAUAAAUUACUCUUAGCGUCAUGCUUAUGCGUAUGAAUGUCAUGUCGUGCAUAGGUACAUAUUUCAUAACAUCAUCAGCCUCUGAUGGCAUCCCAUCAUAUCAUAUCGGCCACUGCAGGUAAAAUCAUUAUAGUAUACCAGCUGAUCAGGUGGUGGUGCGUAUAUAAUGCCAUAACUUUUCCCAUAUCCCAUAUAUAUAUAUACACGCAUAUAUAAUGCCGUUUGAAUCAUAUUUACAUAUAUACGCGUAUAUAACGCCGUUUUAAUCAUAUUUCAGCCACUGUGGGC